GGCGCAGCAUAUAAAAAGGCUCUCCCCCGUCAGAACCGUCUCUUUCCAACGUCUGCCAACAUUACAUUCUUCUCACGAUGACAUCCCACGAAGACCUGCGGACAUGCAAAAUGGUCCAGUUGGUGUGUAAAGAUCCUUGACUGCAAGGAGAGGUAAAGGCCGCAUACCACAAAAGAUGAUACAUGAGCAGCACAACACCACAUUUGAUGUGCAAAGAGGAACAGAUGACAUCUUGGGUCUAGUUGACAUGAUGGUGCCUCUGAUGGCUGUAUGAGCAGAUGUUAUCCUGCCUUCCACGGAAGACUCCAGUUUACCAGUCAAGCAUGGCAUACUUGGAGAUGUGCAGAGAGGAACAGAUGCCAUCUUGGGUUGAGUAGACAUGACGGUGCUUCUGAUGGCUGUAUGAGCAGAUGUCGUCAUGCCUUCCACGGAAGACUCCAGUUUACCAGUCAAGCAUGGCAGACUUGGAGGUCCAGUUGGUGUAAAGAUCCUUGACUGCAAGGAGAGGUUUCUUGGAAGUGUGUGCCGCUGUUCAAGUCGGGGAUUUUCAAAGUGAGGUAAAGGCCACAUACCACAAAAGAUGGCCCUUUUUAAGUGAGUGGUUACUUACCCAUGGUUUUGUUUGGUCUUUUUAGAUACAUGAGCAACACCACAUUUGAUGUGCAAAGAGGAACAGAUGCCAUCUUGGGUCGAGUAGACAUGGUUCCCUCAGGAAAAUUUAAAUUCCUGAUGGUGCUUCUGAUGGCUGUAUGAGCAGAUGUUAUCCUGCCUUCCACGGAAGUUUCCAGUUGACCUUGGAGGGAACAUUGCUGGAUUAACUUGGAAACUGAAGAGCUAUCUUUAACGACCUGACCUGAACUGGAUGUCUGGCUGGCCACUGUGUUCCUGUAUGUUUAAACUGAAUCAUCUUGUACAUUAAACUGCAUUUUCAAAUAAACAAUUUAUUCCAUA